UGCUCCAGAGCCCAGGCGCUGCUAGAUCCACGCUGAGAAUGGCGGACACAAGAGAAGAGCGGCUGAAGGCAAAAGCAACUUUUAAGAAGAACCUGGACACUUAACAUGCACACUUUCUCAAAGCUAGGGAUGUUAUGACUCGUGACAGUUAUAAAGUUUGUAAUUAUGUCACGUCUGUCGUAUUUGACCGCAAAAAAAGUACUUUUUGCUCGUAGCUAGUUUUGCACAAUGGGAUUUUCAGCCGUUCCCUGGAUCUAACCCCACGACCAAAAGGUGACUCUGCGUUCUUCCUGCUUGUAAGAAACUACGAGUUAGGAGGAAGCGUCUGGGGAGAGCAAGAGACCUGGAGGCGGAUGUGUUCUGAGGAUACAACAGGAUGGAAAACGUGGAAGAGCUUGGUAGCUUCUAUCUUCACCUCGUUUGGAGCUAUAGAGGCCAGACAGGUACAAAUUAACUCGUCAAAGCUCAGGUAAGAACAUAUCUCAGUAUGUAAAAACGGUGGCCUAUGCCUUUAAGAGAAACUA
rnacentral:lncRNA from 1 species